rnacentral:rRNA from 1 species
CCUACGGGGGGCAGCAGUGGGGAAUAUUGCACAAUGGGCGCAAGCCUGAUGCAGCCAUGCCGCGUGUGUGAAGAAGGCCUUCGGGUUGUAAAGCACUUUCAGCGGGGAGGAAGGCGGUGAGGUUAAUAACCUCAUCGAUUGACGUUACCCGCAGAAGAAGCAACGGCUAACUCCGUGCCAGCAGCCGCGGUAAUACGGAGGGUGCAAGCGUUAAUCGGAAUUACUGGGCGUAAAGCGCACGCAGGCGGUCUCUCAAGUCGGAUGUGAAAUCCCCGGGCUCAACCUGGGAACUGCAUUCGAAACUGGCAGGCUAGAGUCUUGUAGAGGGGGGUAGAAUUCCAGGUGUAGCGGUGAAAUGCGUAGAGAUCUGGAGGAAUACCGGUGGCGAAGGCGGCCCCCUGGACAAAGACUGACGCUCAGGUGCGAAAGCGUGGGGAGCAAACAGGAUUAGAUACCCGUGUAGUC